rnacentral:lncRNA from 1 species
AAAAAAUAUUUAAUAUCUUAGACCACAGUGACUUGCACCAUCCUAAUAAUGUACAUUGCUUCCAACCCAAACGUUCUUAGCCUAAAAGGCGUUAGAGAAGGAGCAGCCUUGGGGAAUACAUUUCACUACAUAAAGCUCCUGUGCCACUCCAGCUUCUUUGGUGCACCGCCACCAGGCACUCUCCUUCUUGCAACUCAACACCCAAACCCUGCCCUCCUCAGCUCACACCCUAAAAAUGGCCCCUGGUCGUUCAGAUUGUAUUGUUG